CGCACUUCUAUAACAAGGAGAGUUCAGAUGUACUUCACAGCUCUAGCUCCUGAUUUUUGCUUUUGCAACUCAGUCUCUGGGUGACUGGAUAUGCAACCUGCAAGUCUCUCUGGGUCCCCACACUCCCUUUCGUGCAGGGCUGGCGAGUAGCAUUGCCUUUUGGCAGUGACCUGAAUGUAUUUAAGAACAAGUCUGGCCGGCUGAUUAUAUGCUUUUAAGGUGUCUAAAUUUGGAUAUUGGAAGUAGGAAAAUAUUGAAAGAUUUGUAUAAACUCACAUCAGAAGCAGGGGCGGACUGAGAUCAACAGGGGGCCCCCACCUCCCUUCACCGCUCCCUCAUCCUACCACCCUCUAGGGCCAGACCCCACACUACAGGGCCCAGAGCAACCACUAGUGCACCUGUCAGCACUGCAGCUGAUCUAGGUAGAAAAAAGGAAAAUUCCAGUAAUCAGUUAAAUGAACGGAAUUCAGAUUCUACCUUAAGAAAAUCAGAUAAUCACAGGGUCAUAGAGCAUCACCUGACUCACAACCUGCAUCCUAUUUUUUGUGCCCUGGAUGAAUUACAAGGUCACUUUCU